UUGGGUAUAUGCUGGCUUCUUUGUGGUUAUCUAUUCUUUAAGAACAUAUAAAACCCCUCAGUUUGAGCUGCCCAGGGAUGGAUGGCAUGCCAUUGUGUAUUCUCUGCUUCAGGGAGGCGCCACCAUGAGGGGCAGCUCUGUGGUCUUCUCUAGUGGGUUAGUUGUUAGCAGUCUUUGUCAAUGGCUUUCAAAGCUCCAGGGAGCCCAUGAUCAUCUAUACAGCUUGAGAAUGCCAAGCCAACAGACUUCUGGGCGCUGAACAGAGGCUUGUGUGGAGCCUGGUUUGGCCUGGGGCUCAGGUGCCUUAACUGCAUGCACCUGCCCUUACUCCAGUCUUGAGGCCUGAAGUAUGCUGAACCUAUUUUUCUCAUUCUCCUGAGGUAAAUGCAGUUGGAUUUAUGGAGCCAGCACUUCAUAACAGGACCAACUAUGAGGCAGGGGCUUUCUUCCUUAAAUCUUCCUUGGCAGGAGAGGACAGGGCUCAGUGAUGCCUUGUGGCAGGCUUGGUAGCUCUUGGCAAAGAACAGAGGAGUUAGCAGGUGUCCUCUAAAUUGUUAGCUGUGUAGGUUCUGCAGAGACUCGAACCACUCAAAGGGAGGUUGUCAUCUUCAGAAGGAGGAAUGGCCAGGCUCCCCUUUGUCUAGGUUGAGAGAGGGCAGGGAUGGAGACUCCUCUGAGAGCACAGGGAAUCCAGGCCCCUAUGACUGAGAGGCCAGCUUACUCCUACCCUUGGCCCUGAACUGGGACCAUGGGACUGUAGGUGGUUCACAAAGAUGAGAAGAAAGCUGGAAGAAGGAAGUGGGCCCCAAGAAGAGAGGCUGGGUAUGGUGCUCUCUCCUGUUCUGUGGAGGGGGUCUAAAUUGCUCUGCAUUGCUUUUCUUCUUCACUCUACUCUGAAGGGGAAGGAUGGCCACAGGGGCCAGGGAAGGACAAGGCUGAGUGCUGGGUCAGAGUCAGCACUAGGACAUAGCAGAGCACAGAGAAGGACCUGGUGGCUGGUGUGAGAGGGUCAUGACUGAAUCCCAGCAGGACCCCAGAGGUUGGCCCAAGCUCCCUCUACCUCCUUUGAACUGAGGAGCACAGUUCCCUCCACAGAACCCCUUCCUAAACUCUGGGGACAUGUCUGAGGCCUGAGGGCUCCAUUCUUUCCCAUGAAGAGUCUCUCUCCAACGUAUAUCAUUCCAAAUCCAUCUUCAUUAGUAACAAUAAAUGUCAGAGUCUGAGCCCUUAGAAGACCAUUCUGAGAUAAGUAAGGCUUUUCAUAUUUAAUUUAUGAGUGCUCUCUUUGGGGUGUGGUGGGUUAAUUAAGAGCUGAAUUAGAUGGAACUGCAUGUCCCCAAGGACAUCAGUAAA